rnacentral:rRNA from 1 species
CGCGAAUAGCUCAUUACAACAGCCGUCGUUUCUUGGAUCUCUAAUUUUACUUGGAUAACUGUGGUAAUUCUAGAGCUAAUACACGCACUAAAGCUCUGACCUUACGGGACGAGCGCAUUUAUUAGAACAAAACCAAUCGGGUUCUGUCCGUUCGUUGGUGACUCUGAAUAGCUCUGCCGAUCGCACAGUCUCGCACCGGCGACGUAUCUUUCAAGUGUCUGCCUUAUCAACUUUCGAUGGUAGUUUAUGUGCCUACCAUGGUUGUAACGGGUAACGGAGAAUAAGGGUUCGACUCCGGAGAGGGAGCCUGAGAAACGGCUACCACAUCCAAGGAAGGCAGCAGGC